rnacentral:rRNA from 1 species
UACGUAGGAGGCAAGCGUUGUCCGGAUUUACUGGGCGUAGAGCGCGCGCAGGCGGCAAUGUAAGUAAGGUGUGAAAUCUCCCUGCUCAUCGGGGAGGGUGCAUUUUAGACUGCAUAGCUAGAGGUCGGUAGAGGGGGGUGGAAUUGCUGGUGUAGCGGUGAAAUGCGUAGAGAUCAGCAGGAACACCCGUGGCGAAGGCGGCCCCCUGGGCCGUACCUGACGCUGAGGCGCGAAGGCUAGGGGAGCGAACGGG